rnacentral:rRNA from 1 species
CAGCACCCCAAGUGGUCAGGAUGAUUAUUGGGCCUAAAGCAUCCGUAGCCGGCGCUGUAAGUUUUCGGUUAAAUCUGUACGCUCAACGUACAGGCUGCCGGGAAUACUGCAGCGCUAGGGAGUGGGAGAGGUAGACGGUACUCGGUAGGAAGGGGUAAAAUCCUUUGAUCUAUUGAUGACCACCUGUGGCGAAGGCGGUCUACCAGAACACGUCCGACGGUGAGGGAUGAAAGCUGGGGGAGCAAACCGGAUUAGAUACCCGCGUAGUCC